rnacentral:rRNA from 1 species
GUCUACGGCCAUACCACUCUGAACGCGCCCAAUCUUCUCUGAUCUCGGAAGCUAAGCAGGGUUGGGCAUGAUUAGUACUUGGAUGGGAGAAUAUUUUGCAUGUUACCU